rnacentral:rRNA from 1 species
AACGAACGCUGGCGGCAUGCCUAACACAUGCCAGUCGAACGAGACCUUCGGGUCUAGUGGCGCACGGGUGCGUAACGCGUGGGAACCUGCCCUUAGGUUCGGAAUAACUCCCCGAAAGGGGUGCUAAUACCGGAUAAUGUCUUCGGACCAAAGAUUUAUCGCCUUUGGAUGGGCCCGCGUUGGAUUAGCUAGUUGGUAGGGUAAAUGCCUACCAAGGCGACGAUCCAUAGCUGGUCUGAGAGGAUGAUCAGCCACACUGGGACUGAGACACGGCCCAGACUCCUACGGGAGGCAGCAGUGGGGAAUAUUGGACAAUGGGCGAAAGCCUGAUCCAGCAAUGCCGCGUGAGUGAUGAAGGCCUUAGGGUUGUAAAGCUCUUUUACCCGGGAUGAUAAUGACAGUACCGGGAGAAUAAGCGCCGGCUAACUCCGUG